UGGAUCCAGACUUUGAUUAUGGCUCAGGAUGAACGCUAGCUACAGGCUUAACACAUGCAAGUCGAGGGGAAACGACAUCGAAAGCUUGCUUUUUAUGGGCGUCGACCGGCGCACGGGUGAGUAACGCGUAUCCAACCUGCCCACCACUUGGGGAUAACCUUGCGAAAGUAAGACUAAUACCCAAUGACGUCUCUAGAAGACAUCUGAAAGAGAUUAAAGAUUUAUCGGUGAUGGAUGGGGAUGCGUCUGAUUAGCUUGUUGGCGGGGUAACGGCCCACCAAGGCGACGAUCAGUAGGGGUUCUGAGAGGAAGGUCCCCCACAUUGGAACUGAGACACGGUCCAAACUCCUACGGGAGGCAGCAGUGAGGAAUAUUGGUCAAUGGGCGAGAGCCUGAACCAGCCAAGUAGCGUGCAGGAUGACGGCCCUAUGGGUUGUAAACUGCUUUUAUAAGGGAAUAAAGUGAGUCUCGUGAGACUUUUUGCAUGUACCUUAUGAAUAAGGACCG
rnacentral:rRNA from 1 species